rnacentral:tRNA from 3 species
GUCGGGAUAGCUCAGUCGGUAGAGC